AACGGGCUUCAUGUGCCAGAGAAACUCCAAACACACCUCGCAGAAGAAAUCCAGGAAAUCCCUAUCGCAGCAGCUGAAUAAACAGAAGAUUUAACUGCU